rnacentral:rRNA from 1 species
AUUGAACGCUGGCGGCAGGCCUAACACAUGCAAGUCGAGCGAGCGGCGGACGGUUUAGUAAUGUCUGGGAAACUGCCUGAUGGAGGGGGCUAACUACUGGCAACGGUAGCUAAUACCUCAUACCCUCCGAUGUGCCCAGAUGGGAUGAGCUAGUAGGUGGGGUAACGGCUCACCUCGGCGACGAUCCCUCGCUGGUCUGAGAGGAUGACCAGCCACACUGGAACUGAGACAUGGUCCAGACUCCGACGGGAGGAAGCAGGGGGGAAUAUUGCACAAUGGGCGCAAGCCUGCUGCAGCCAUGCCGCGUGUGUGAAGAAGGCCUUCGGGUUGUAAAGCACUUUCAGCGGGGAGGCGUUACCCGCAGAAGAAGCACCGGCUAACUCCGUGCCAGCAGCCGCGGUAAUAC